GCCCUGGUAGCUCAGUUGGUAGAGCAGAAGACUCUCGAUCUCAGGGCCAUGGGAUUAAGUUCCACAUUGGGCA